rnacentral:rRNA from 1 species
CAGGCCUAACACAUGCAAGUCGAGCGAGACCUUCGGGUCUAGCGGCGGACGGGUUAGUAACGCGUGGGAACGUGCCCUUCUCUGCGGAAUAGCCACUGGAAACGGUGAGUAAUACCGCAUACGCCCUUCGGGGGAAAGAUUUAUCGGAGAAGGAUCGGCCCGCGUUAGAUUAGAUAGUUGGUGGGGUAAUGGCCUACCAAGUCUACGAUCUAUAGCUGGUUUUAGAGGAUGAUCAGCAACACUGGGACUGAGACACGGCCCAGACUCCUACGGGAGGCAGCAGUGGGGAAUCUUAGACAAUGGGCGCAAGCCUGAUCUAGCCAUGCCCGCGUGUGUGAUGAAGGUCUUAAGAUCGUAAAGCACUUUCGCCAGGGAUGAUAAUGACAGUACCUGGUAAAGAAACCCCGGCUAACUUCGUGCCAGCAAGCCGCGGUAAUACGGAGGGGGUUAGCGUUGUUCGGAAUUACUGGGCGUAAAGCGUACGUAGGCCGGAUCAGAAAGUUGGGGGUGAAAUCCCGG